rnacentral:lncRNA from 1 species
CACAGACAGCACUAUGAAAAUCAUUUUGUUAUGGGGAGUUACAUGUUUGUAGACUGUUAUGUUUUUUUUUUAUAUAUUCAGCUUUAUGCUUCUUUUUUAACAUAAACAUCAAUAGAUUUUAGGAAAUAUGCCUUCACUUCUUGCCUUUCAAGGAAUUUAUGUGUAUAUACUUCCUCCAUUUUCUGUCACAAAGAUUCCUGAAGAUUGAAGGGAGACAGCAACAGGCAUUUUAUUUCUCCAUCUCAUUACGUAUUUAUAUAACCAGAGUGAAAUCUGUUUUCUGUUAGAAGAAAGAGGAGGGCAGUGAGGCUGGAUUUUUUUUAUUUUUUUUAUUUUUUUUUGUUAACAGACCCAAAAGUUGUCUGGAAACUGUGCCAAAACAAUAGCAUAAAAAGAAGGCAUCUGGAAGUCAUUAGGGAAGCACGGAGUGGGCAGUGAUUAAAGCAGGAUGGAAUUUCUGCUGCUUUUUUUUUUUUUUUUUUCUCUCACAGUUUCAAAGCCAAUCAGACACAACUUUAAACCAAUCAAACAAAACUUCGGACUCUUAUGAAUAUUCAAGAAAGAAAAUUCUUGCCACCUCAUACCCCUCCUGAAGGCAACUUCAAUUAUCUCCUCUGUCACACAUCCUUAUACAUUUCCCUGCAUUAUUUGGGAGAGUUUGCAUGCUUUUACUUUUGCUUUGCUUCUUUUUCCUCUUAUUUUUUUUUCAUAGUAAUCACUGGAAAAUUCUAGCUCCUCUCUUACCUUAAGAAACAACAGCUGGAACGUUAUAUUGGUACUGUAAGAUACAGUGUUAUAAUUUGGUAUUGAAGCUGAGGAGUAUUACAAGAAUUGAGUAAGAGAUGCACAUGCAUCUAUCUUUCUGCAGCUACUUCCACUGAUAAAUUUGUUUGUCUAUGGGUAGCCAUUUUCCUCCUGCAGCCAUCAGUGCUGUAGGUUAGGCUGCUAGUCUCCUCCCAGUAGCUCCUGCCAAUUUAUGCUUGGAGUUGUAGUGAUUACUGCCACCUCAGUGAUGCCAGGGUCCUCCUUUCCUAACUACCUCCAACCCAGGCAAGGUUGGAUGGGGCUCUGGGCAAUCUGAUCUAGUACUUGAUCAAGUGGCUGGCAACCCCUCCUGUGGCAAGGGGGUUGGAACUUGAUGAUCCUUGAGGUCCCUUCCAAUCUUAGUCAUUCUAUGAUUCUGUGAUUCAUAGGACGUCCUUCUUCAUACAUCUGGUGAUGCAAAAGUCUGAAAACCCGAUCAUUUACCAUUCUGCUGAAGUCUGUUUUUUUUUCUCAUUCCAUUUUUAACUCUGUAGUAUGAAAUCUAUUCUACUAUAAAGUCAGAAUCAGCUGCAGUCAAAAAUCUGAGAAUGAAUUUUUCUCAACUGACAUAAAAGAUAAAUGGCAUCAUACAAAAACAACCAUUGGUAGCAUUUCAUCUUCACCAUAAACAUGUCAUUUUCUGAAUUAAUGGACACUGUUCCCGAUACCUGCAAAGACCAUGAAGAUAUUGAAACUUCUCACUUUACAUUUUCAUGCCUGCUUAUACUGCAUUUGUACAGCAUUCCACUGCUAGGAUGCUACGCUUGCAAGUUUGUGAUGCUCCAUUUUCUUUCUCUGUAAAAUGAGAGGUAUUACUUGUGUGCUAUUCCAAGUGUUCUUGCACCUAAAAGAUGAAAAACAGUGCUAAUUUGGAAGGACCAUUAUACUGACAGGUGUCAGUAGUGACUGCAUUCUGCUGCUGGACUGAAGGAUUUGACUUUUUCCUUGGACACACCCAGAAAUGUUUGCAGAUCUUUAAUCAUGAGCAAACAGAUGCAGGUUUACCUGCACAGCUGAAACUUACCUGAUUGUACCCAGCAUAGUUUUAUGGUUCUUGCGGUUCUUAUUCUAAAAUUCAUUUUCCUGUGCCCUCUAGCAUCAUAAAGUCAUGUAGUGGAAAAAUAAAGUUAAGGAGAUUAUGUGCUCAUGUUCCGUUUCUGCCAUUUCACCUGGCAGGAGCCCUAGAGAGUGAAGAAGUGGAUGCAGCUUUGGCCAUCAGUGAGGACAGCAGCUUGUGCCUUACUCCAUGGCUACCACAGCCCAUGUGAGCAUACAGAGCUCUCAGUUUUGUUCAGAAGCUGCAAUGGGGCCAACAGAUCAACUGUCAAACUAUUGCUUCCUCCUGCAAGCACCAUUAAAAAUGGAUCAUCUGGAGCUAAGAUGAUUUUCUUUGAGGCCAGGUGCAGAUGUAAUGAAAGAAUAAAUGCAGCCUACAAUAGCACUGGGAAAAGAGCUUUUGAGAAUCUUUUUUCUGUUGUGUUCUCCUCACAAAGGACACAAAACAAGUGAAAGAAGCCGAACUGGAAGAGGUGUGAAAGGUGAAACAAUAUGAGAGUCCUGAAAAGAUGGGAGGAAACUUUGACCACAUAGGACUGACUCCAGAUGCUCUUCCACACGCAUAAUAAUGGACUGCUCUCUUCCAUGAGUAACACAAUUGCAAUCAGUAAAGAUACUCAAAUGAGUAAAACAUGAAACAUUAAGCUCACAGGCGGAGAUGAGGUUGAUCUGUCAGUAGGGGCAGCAACGUGGGUGCUAGGUCUCUAUUUCAGGUAAAUGAAUGGUAGUCAGAUCUGCAGCAAAUUAUGGAUGCAAGAAAAAAUCUUUGUGUGACUAAAAAUGUGGAUCUGGAAUGGUGGAACCAAGAGGCUUCAUGAAAUGUGCAAGGCAAGAUGAACAUCAGCAUGCUGUGAUACUCUAUUCUGUAGAAAACACUGAGGAAUUGGGAACAGGAGAAAUUCAUUCCACACAAAAUCCUGGAGCAUUAUAAUACAGUGAUCACGAUAUAGGCAAGGAAAAGUCAGACUUGUUGUCAGCUCAUUCAUGCAUUCUGUGGAGUGCAUGAUUUAUGUUUACUGUCACUGCUGUGUACUUUUGUUUACCCAUGAGACACACAAAACAAACUUGGGACUGCAGCUGGAAAACAUUGCCGGAGGUACCUCUCCCAUGACAAAGAUCAUCGUGUGCAAACGGACAUUAAUUGUCAUUAUUCUGAUCAGAAUAAGUUAUCCAAAGAAUGAUUAGGAAUAUCUGGUUUCAAUUCUUUGAUAAAAUCUCCAAGAGCAGCAGUGAGCAUCAGCCCUGGAAUACAGUGGACAAAACUGCUAGGUUUUCCAGAUAUUGAAACAGGAGAACUUUCAGCCUGAGGUGGAUGUAAGGUCCUGGAAAAAACCAUAAGCCUUUCCCAGUUAGUUGCUGAUGUACCGGGAAUGCUCUUGAGGAUUGCUUUAUUCCGCAUUCCUUUUCCACUUCUUCCUCUCAUCUGACAUCUCUUUUGUUGCCCGUACAGGUGGAAUUCUCUGUGAAAUUCAUGUAUUUCUGUCAGCAUACCCAAAGGAGGCAGAGCAAACAAUAAAUAUAAAUGAUAGGCCCAGAAAGAUCAUUAACGUAAUACCCAUUUAUUCCCUAAUUCUUAGCGCUUUGACCUUUCCCUAAGGAAAUGGAAUACAUUCUGAGUAAGUAAAAAAAAACAUCUUGCAAACAGCUUCAUGUGAAGUCCCUUCCUGAUAUCAUCCCAACCUUUAUAAUCAGAUAUUGGUAAUCUUAUAAGCAAGUGAUUACAUGGAUUCCUUACAUUUGAAAGGAGUCACCCGGUUUUUCAGAGAUGUGUAAACUGCAAGCCAGUGUUGGCAGCCAUUCAUCUUUCAUUCUGUCACAGGGAACAAGAAAUAAAGAAGGGACUUUCUUGAGCAAAACGUCCAGCUUAAUGAAUAUAAUUUCCUUUUAUGACAAAGUUACCCAAAGGGAAGCCACUUGAUGUAAUCUUUUUCAAUUUCAGCAAAGCUCUCACAGUAUCCUUCCGCACAAAAUGUCCAGCACAUCUUGGCAAAAGCGUAAUGCGAUGGGUGAACAACUGGCUGACAAGGGUUAUAGAAAAUGGUACUACAUUUCUGUGUUUCAGUGGAGACAACAGGAACCUUCAAGGAGUCUUUGCUGAGACUAACUUUACUUAUCAGAGUAGGCAUUGAUGGGAAAGCUAUAUAAAUUAUUUUUUAAAAUAAUAUAUCUGAUAAGCUAUAACCUGGGUUUAACCAUGGGUUCUUUAAUGAAAUUUUGAGAGCUUUUUUUGUCCAAAAAAUCAGCCACUUAAUGCAAAGGAGGUGUACAAACAUAAAAAACAACAGAAACAUUAUGGGAGCUCCCCACAGUUGACCUUGAUGGAGUCAUCAGAGGAGCAUACAUCUGCAACCAGUGCUGGACCAAAGGAACAACUGAAAGUCAGACAGAACUGACAGAGAUGCCUCAGCAGGAAUGUGAGAACAGAUGUGCACACCAGUCCUUUUCCUGCUACAAAGAGCUAGCAGCUUAGGGCUUGCAGACCUCUGGAUUUCAAUCACAUGUCAAGUUCAACAGUCACCAGUGGAACUAUAUUCCUGACAAAUCUCUCUCUUUCCCCCUCAGGGCCCUGUACAUGUGCAUUCAUUCAGAUUUUUUUUUUUCUGUGAACUCCCAGUGCAGCAUAAUCCUUUCACACCCCUAGGGGCAUCUGUUUGUUUGAAACAAAACACCACCAGAGCCUGGUUUUUACUGUGGACUUCAGCACCUACUCUGAGGAAUAGUGUUCAACAGCUUGUAAGAGAAGGCCUCAUUUCUAAUAAGUUGUUUUCCCUACGGCUAUGUUCUCUCUUGAACUUUGAAGGAAGCCUUUCAUUUAGUUUCAAGUUAUACCUUCCUGCCUUGAUAAUAAAUACGCUUUGCUCUUUUGGAGAGGACCUGAUGUUGUUCUCACUAUACAAUACAUAUAAAAGAUGCCUUGGGAUAGUCUUGCUGGCCAAAACAAAAGGGAUGCCUCGUUCAGUGCACUGCAAAUGAGCAUGGCUAUGUGCUGAUUUUGGCUCGCUCAUUUCCUAUUCCACCCUAGCAUUUGUAAAUUAAACUCCUAUUUUCGGAUUUCCAUAGAUUGUUCCAAAGUUUAUGUGAUUCCUUUAAUUAUGGCAUGGAGUAGGGGCAACUGCAUUCCAAGAAACCAAUAAUUACCUGGAACAUGUUAUUACAGUGAGACGUGUGUAGAUCUGUAGCAUCUGUGAAACUCCAUGCAACAUAACUGAAGAAACGGCUGAAAAUGGAUCUGACACAGUUGCAAUAAAGAAGUCUCAAAAAACUACUGUCUUCUUUCAGUACCAUAAUUUGUGUCACAGAAUUACAGCUCAAGUGGAACUGCCAUUUGAACUGCCACUGGAACUGCCAUUUGAACAAAUCUCACUUUUUAGUGGUGAAAAAUAACCUGAAUCCAAUCAGAAUUGUUUUUUUCUAUUAAUGCAUGUAUCCUUGGCAGUGCUAUUGCUGACAAAAAGUCUGUUCUUUUUUCAGCAGAGAUAAUGCAAAAAACAAAUGAAAAACAAAAAACAGAAACAAAACAAAACAACCUGACAGCUCAGUGCAAGGCUUAGUUUCCAUUUCAGGGUCAUGUGGAGGGGGUGUUCUUCAGAUGUUCCUGAAAUAAAUGUCUAUUACACUAUAAUUUAUGUUAUGUUAUGUUUAUUAGGUCCUCCGUAAAGUUUUCUUCAUAAAAGGCUGCAUAGCAAGCCUCCAAUUCUUAAGGAAUUAGAAUGGAAAUGUCACUCUCAUUUAAAAUUUAGAAGAGUAAAAACACUGAAAAAACAGAGAGAAAGAAACAUCAAAUUUAUCCUGAGUUUACCCCAUUGUAGCUAAUUAGCACAAGAGUUUUUAGGGACAUUCCCAUUUCAUGCAAGACCGCCCAUGAUCCCUUAGCAGUCAGGCAUUUAUUGUAUAGCUGUGAAACCUGUGUAAAUCUUUAUAUUUUAAUCUACAGCAAAGCUUUAAGUUUUAAUCUGCAGCUUUCCCACUGUUAAUUUUACUCAGGGUCAUUCUUAAUGGUCAUAGUUCCUAAGAUUAAGAAAAUAGCUGACAUCUUCACACCAACAAAGCAAUGUGGUUGUUAAUUCUCCA